AAACGUUGCUUCGGCGGGAACAGACGGCCCUGUAACAACGGGCCGCCCCCGCCAGAGGACCCCUAACUCUGUUUUUAUAAUGUUUUUCUGAGUAAACAAGCAAAUAAAUUAAAACUUUCAACAACGGAUCUCUUGGCUCUGGCAUCGAUGAAGAACGCAGCGAAAUGCGAUAAGUAAUGUGAAUUGCAGAAUUCAGUGAAUCAUCGAAUCUUUGAACGCACAUUGCGCCCGCCAGUAUUCUGGCGGGCAUGCCUGUUCGAGCGUCAUUACAACCCUCAGGCCCCCGGGCCUGGCGUUGGGGAUCGGCGGAAGCCCCCUGUGGGCACACGCCGUCCCUCAAAUACAGUGGCGGUCCCGCCGCAGCUUCCAUUGCGUAGUAGCUAACACCUCGCAACUGGAGAGCGGCGCGGCCAUGCCGUAAAACACCCAACUUCUGAAUGUUGACCUCGAAUCAGGUAGGAAUACCCGCUGAACUUAAGCAUAUCA
rnacentral:rRNA from 1 species